GUCACACUUCCAUCUCCUCACUAUCACCAUUUACAUAACCCAAACCCAAAUCGCCCUCUGCAAAAUCUGUUACGGUCGUUCUUUAUCGAUCUUUGUAUGUUCAGAUCGACCAACGAAUCUAUGUUAUGAAGGUGUGUUUGUGUGAGAGACGUUUCUGCUAUAAGAUCCCAUGGUGAUUAUCUUUUCGUUCAUGUUGGAAUUGGUGGUCUCGAAAUUUUAGAUUUGGAUAAUAUAUCAUGGUUAAACAGUAAAACCAAGAAUCAAAAAAGUGUUCUAUGGAUUCGAAAAAAGGUACGAGCAAGCCAUCGGGAUCGAAGAGGAAGCGAUAACCAGCAAUUUCGAAACCGGGUAGGUGUUUUAUUGGGGAUUUGAUGUUAAGUCAGUGUAUGGUGGUCAAUGGUGUCCAUUGAUGUUUGUGAUGUCCUUAACAACCCGGUGAUCAGCUAUAGGGUUUUAUGUUGUGAUCUAAAGUGUUUAAUAGCGUGAUGUAGAUGGUGUGAUAGUGUUAUAUAAGUCGAAUAUAACUGUUUUAUACAUGUAGUGUUAUAUGCAAUUCGGAUGGGUAUUUUAAUGGGGGUUUGAUUUUAAAUCGGUCUAUGGUGGUCAACGGUGUCUAUUGGUGCUCCUCUUGGUCUAUGCAAUUACAAAGUGUUUUAUACUUGUAGUGUUAUAUGUAAUUAUGAUGG
rnacentral:lncRNA from 1 species